AUACGGAGGGUGCGAGCGUUAAUCGGAAUUACUGGGCGUAAAGCGCGCGUAGGCGGUUUGGUCAGUCGGAUGUGAAAGCCCUAGGCUCAACCUGGGAAUGGCAUUCGAUACUGCCUGACUAGAGUAUGGUAGAGGGAAGUGGAAUUUCCGGUGUAGCGGUGAAAUGCGUAGAUAUCGGAAGGAACACCAGUGGCGAAGGCGACUUCCUGGGCCAAUUCUGACGCUGAGGUGCGAAAGCGUGGGGAGCAAACAGGAUUAGAAACCCCAGUAGUCC
rnacentral:rRNA from 1 species